rnacentral:rRNA from 1 species
UACGGGGGGGGCAAGCGUUGUUCGGAAUUACUGGGCGUAAAGGGCUCGUAGGCGGCCAACUAAGUCAGACGUGAAAUCCCCAGGCUUAACCUGGGAACUGCGUCUGAUACUGGAUGGCUUGAAUCCGGGAGAGGGAUGCAGAAUUCCAGGUGUAGCGGUGAAAUGCGUAGAUAUCUGGAGGAAUACCGGUGGCGAAGGCGGCAUCCUGGACCGACAUUGACGCUGAUGAGCGAAAGCUAGGGGAGCAAACGGG